CCUGGUAUCGACAGCUCAGCUGGUAGAGCGGAGGACUGUGGAUCCUUAGGUCGCUGGUUCGAUUCCGGCUCGAAGGA